AGUCCUGCAGGAAAGGCACGGGAUAUUGUCUGCAAGGUGCUGGCACCAGAUGUUCCUGGGCUGCCAGAAACCCGCCGACCCCUUCUGUAUCACUGCACAGUGAGUCCGCUCCGUGCUGGAGUGCUGCGGAGGACAGCUCUCCUAGCAACAGUGCUGGUGCAGGGAGGAAAUUUAAAGCAGGUCAGCCAUGUGGAGCAGCAUGGCUGGCCAUUUCAUCCGGUCACAUCAUGUACUGCAGGUUUGGAAAGGUGCCCAUUCUCCCCAAAAACUCAUCUGAUGUCCAAUCCUCACCAUAUACCUCAAUAUUACCAGUCUUAAUAAAUCCAAAAUAAGUUCCUACAGCCUUAUAACUCUUACCACAUUUUCCUCGCCUGUCAUGGCUGCUCUAAUUAUGAAUUGACCUCUUCGUUUCUGAGGAGGCAGGGCCAACCAGUGAGGAAAGAGAAUAUGCCCGACUAUGGGAAUAUGCCAGCACAGGACUAUUCCCAGUUAGGACCUACAGAAAUCAGACAAACCCUGGGGAAACCUGCAAACCUUUAGACAAUCUCCCACCGCCCUACCCAAUGCCACAAGACCUUCUCCCUCUCCCUGUGCCAGUAAAUCCUGUGCACCAACCCGCAGUACCCCAAGUGCCACCAGCAGGACAGGCUUUGGCAGUGCAACAUUCACAAGAAUUGUCCCUCUCCCCUCCUCCCUCACAACAAGUAGAAACCGCCAGACACACUGUUCCCAUGGGCGGGAACGGAUCCCCGCCUGCUAGUAGAACAAGACAGUGGACUUGGAAGGUAAACUUCAAGGAUAGUGAGGACGAGGAUGGUGAACAAGGUCGUUUUGCAUUAAGGGAAGUUCCAACAGCUCCGGGAGUCAUUGGAUAUGUUAACGUGCUGAUAAACUCUGGGGAUAUACGGGCAUUCAAGAAGGAAAUGGGGGAGAUAAUGGAUGAUCCGCUGGGGGUGGCAGAGAGGCUGUAGAAUUUCUGGGGAACAGCAUAUACUCCUAGGAUGAUAUUAGUGCCAUCCUAAGGUCAUUGUUUAAUGCAGAGAAAAGGCAGAUGAUUAGAUCAGCAGCAAUAAAGGACUGGGAGCAUAGAAACCCUCAAGGGGGGAGUGGGGAGGACAAAUGGCCUAAUCAAAGGCCUUCUUUGAAUGCGCAGACGGAAGAGGAUAGACGCAAAAUGAUAGAAUUAAGGAAUAUGAUCAUACGAGGUAUCGGGAGCAGUUCCAAAAGAACAAAAUCUGAGCAAGGCAUUAGGAGAAUGCCAAGGGAAGGAUGAAACUCCCACUGAGUGGCUGGAGAUGUUAAGAAAAAGUCUCAAGAUGUACUGUGGGACAGAUCCGGAGUCCCCAGUGGGGGCAAUCUUGCUAAAAACCCAGUUUGUAGCCAAAUCAUGGGAAGAUAUACGGCGGAAACUAGAAAAGAUGGAGAAUUGGCAGGAAAGAACUCUGCAGGAAUUGCUAAGGGAAGCACAGAGGGUUUUGUAUGAAGAGGGAGGAUGAAAAGCAGAAGGCACAGGCAAAGGUUUUGGUGGCAGCAGUAAGGGAGGCCCACAAGCAAGAGAAGGAUGCGAACACAGGUAAGACUAGUCAGGCACACAAGCCUCAAGGGAAACAUAAUCAACCCCAAAAGAAACCCAUGAACAGGCAGGGAGAGGGACUGGAGUGCUAGUACUGCAAGCAAAGAGGUCACUUUAAGAGGGAGUGUAAGAAAAGGCUGAGGGAUGAAAGCAUCUUUCAGGAAGACUAGGGGUGUCAGGGACUUUUUAAUUUGGGGUCCAUAACACCCAGAGAGCCCUUGAUGUACCAGAUAUAAAGGGUGUGGUAAUUGAAUCAGAAACUAAGUUUUGUGUGGGAAAUAUCCUAUUAGUAGAAGAAGCAGAUUAUAAUUUGCUGGGACGGGAUUUGAUGAUAGAUUUAGGAAUUAGCCUGAUCACUCAGGACUCACAGCUUAUGGUAAGUUUGUACCAAUUGACCAUGGAGGAUGAGGGAAAAAUCAAUCCCAAGGUCUGGCAUUUAAAAGGAGAAGUGGAAAUUAGAAAUGGAACCAAUCCAUAUUGAAAUUAAGAGACCCGAAGAUCCCAUCCGGAUCAAACAGUACCUCAUACCAAUGGAAGGAAGGAGAGGGCUGAAACCAAUAAUCGAGGAGUUGAUUAAAAAGGGCACACUGGAACCUUGUAUGUCCAGGCUCAACACUCCUAUCCUAGCGGUACGAAAACCAGAUGGGAGUUACAGGUUGGUACAAGAUUUAAGGGAGGUUAAUUAUAGGACUAAAACACUAUUUCCUACAGUUUCAAACCCUUAUACACUAUUAAAUAAUGUUUCUCCAGAGGAUGCCUGGUACAGCAUAAUAGAUUUAAAAGACGCCUUUUGGACUUGCCCACUAGCAAGGGAAAGUCAGGAUUAUUUUGCAUUUCAAUGGGAAGAUCCUGACACUAAUCGUAAACAACAACUAAGGUGGACUUCCCUGCCUCAGGGGUUUGGAGAUUCACCAAACCUCUUCAAUCGAGCAGAGGUAUUGAGUGAGUUUGUUCCUGUUAAAGGGACCAAACUACUAUAAUAUGUUGAUGAUUUGCUGGUGGUAGGUCCCCAAGAAGAACUGGUAAGUGUAAGCACUAUAACCCUGCUCAACUUUUCGGGAGACAAGGGUUUGAAAGUCUCAAAAUCAAAAUUACAAUUCAUGGAACCUGAAGUCACUUGGGGCACUGGCUCACAAAAGGUAAGAAGAAAUUAGACCCAGAUAGAGUAGCCGGAAUAAUUGCCUUACCCCCUCCUCAAUCAAAGAGGGAAGGCAGGUAAUGGGGCUUGUGGGGUUUUGUAGACAGUGGAUUGAGUGAUAUAGUGAAAAAGUGAAAUUUCUUUAUGAAAAGCUCACCAUGGAUAAACCAAAGUGGACCAGGCAAGAUGAGGAGAGAUUCAAAGAGCUUAUGACAGCUCUGGUGUUGAGUCUCCCAGAUGUGAACAGACCAUUUCAGCUUUUCGUAGACAUGAGUCAAAGAAACCUGGGGGGGAUGUAUCAAAGUUAUUAGAUCUUGUCAGCAGACGGUGGCCUACAUGUUUGCAAGCAAUCGUGGGGGUGGUUGUUUUGGUAGAAGAGGCUAAGAAAAUAACUUCUGGAGCACCCUUGGUUGUCUUUUUCUCGUAACAUGAGAAGCAUUUUGCAGCAAAAGGCUGAAAAGUGGCUCACGGACACCCAGCUUCUUAAAUAUGAAGCUAUCUUGAUCACUCACAUGAUUUAGAACUACAAACAACAGCAGCACAAAAUCCAGCACAGUUCCUGUAUGGAGAAAUUCUGGGGGAACCUGCCCAUGACUGCGCGGAGAUAGUGGAAUUACAGACCAAAAUAAGACCAGACCUGGAAGAGGAGGAAUUGGAAGAAGGGGAAAAAUGGUUUGUAGAUGGGUCAGCCUGAAUCAUAGAGGGGAAAAGGAAAUCGGGACAUGUAGUGGUAGAUGGAAAACGGGGGAAACCAUGGAAUCCGAGCCCUUGAAUGCCAGUUGGUCAGCCCAGGCCUGUGAACUAUAUGCAGUAUUGAGGGCUUUGCAGAUGCUAAAAGGGAAAAAGGGGACGAUUUUCAUGGACUCGAAAUACGUUUUCGGGGUAGUUCGCACAUUUGGGAAGAUAUGGGAAGAAAGGGGGCUGAUUAACACCAAAGGGUGAGGGUUGAUGCAUGAAGGGAUAACCAAACAAAUUUUAGAGGCUAUAAGGGAACCUGAAGCAAUUGCAGUUGUUGAUAUAAAACGACACCAGGCAGGAGUACAGUUUCGGACCCAAGGAAACAACUUAGCUGAUAAGGAGGCUAGAAACGCGGUAUUGUUGCAGAUACAGCAGUGUGAACAGCAGAAAAAGGCUGAACCCACACUUUGUGAGUAAAAAGGGUUGAACCGUGAGAAGAAGAGCCUGAGUGGAAAGUUACUUCUCCACUGAAAUUAACUCUACGUCAACCAAGUAAAUGACCAAGAACGACCAAAUAAGAUGUGCAGAGCCAGAGUGUAAUUGCUACCCAUUGGCUCAAUUCAAAUGCAAAUAUUGUAAUGAGGUGUGGGUGGUACACUGCAGAAGAGGGACGUGGCCAAAGGGUCUAUGUGAUAAGUGCUUGGAUGGGGAAGUGCGUCUGACUAACCUUAUCUUAAUGCUCCUCACAGAUUUGGGGGUAAUUGAGACAGAUUCACUAGUGUGGUUUCGGCUAUUUCAAAACGGGGUAAGGGGAAAAUUGAGAUCCAGAGCAAAAAUCUUAGCAGUAGAGUGCCGGAGACUAAACAAGGUACCUUGCAGCGCCAUAGCAGUCAAAUUAUCCGUGUGGGGCACUUUUACAAGGAGAUAUGUGGCUUGAGCCAGGCACGAUACACGUGAAGGAUAUUCCUGCUGCCAAGAAGAUGGUUUUCCCCGCCAUUGGAGGCACCCCAGUGAGCGUAGGCAGAGACAGAGGAAUGAAACUAGGGGAAGUCCUGAUGAGCCUGAGUCUAGUCAUGUGCCUCAGGAUUAGCACAUACCCACUCAGCUUGGGAGAACAGGUCUCCAGUAACAAGUGUGGACCCUGCAUGCAAACCAUCCUGGAUGGACGGGGUGAAGCGGAGGCUUCAACGCACCCAGCCUUGGGAAACUGCGAUGGAAAUGGAACAGGCAGGUACUGUCUCUUCAACGGCACCCAGUGUGGGAUAUGCAAAGUAAAUGGAAAGGACAUUUGCUGCUUGAAAGAGGCAGCAUCUAAGACUGGAGAGUCAGAGCACGUCCAACGCAAAAGAGAGGUGAGACAAGCACCUAUACCUAUUUGUAACAGAUGCAAUUGUACUGUAUGGACUGGGGAUAGGAUGGAAUCUGUACAGGUGAACUGUGGGAAUCCAUGGGAUUAGAGGAUUUUAGGAAAGGUGGGAAAAAGAAAGGCCUCAGAGACAGUAAGGAUAGUGAAAUGCUUAAGCAGCAGAAAAGAGAUAUCAGCAGUAGCGAAGACAUGAGAAAUAGAACAAUAAAGCUAUGUAGUUUGGCUUUCUAAGUUGCAAAAAGGUAUAUUUUAGUAAAUAUUUAGAAGGUUAAAUAUGAAUAGGGCUCUGUGCUUUGUCUUUUAUAAAUGAACUAUUGUAUGAGAGAAAAAGUUGCUAUUGUUUUAACCAAAGCUACGUGUGCUUCAUGUGGUUGGAUAGAACGACUGUCAAUAUGCUUUUGCCCUUUGUAAUUGGCUGAAACUAGGUCUGAAACUAUCUUAUAAUAUGUUGCAACAUUAAGUUUCCUUGGCCUUCUGUCUGGAUAGCGAGCUGCUCACAUCGAUCCAUUGCCAUAGCCAUGUAAUGAGACUGAUGCUUCUUAAAUAAACAGCUCACAACGCCGUUCAGGUGUGGUCCCAUUCCGUUCGUGUCUAUAAAUAGUUGCCAGUGUCAGUGAACAAACUGUGUUAUGUAAUAACUUACUGGAAAUGUGUGUAGUGGGUGGAAAAACAUACUGGGUGGGGAAGAAUUUAAAAUAUGGGAAUAAGUUGCCACUUAGAAAGGAACGGGUUAUCAUCGACCUUCUCGAGGAUCAAGAUGACUGAACAUGUUUACAGUAUGACAUGACCUUUUGUUUCUCUCGGAACAAAGAGGGAUUGGACCCAGAGAGUAUAAUACAACAAGUGUCCCAAGAGUUAAAAAGACAGGAGGCAGAGAUGAGGAAAAAGAGGGUGGAGCAAGAAAGGCCGAGAACCCUCAGUGAGCAAUAUGGCCAACUGGAGAAACAGUACAACGAUCUGGGGUUGCCUGCUUCAGACAAAAAUCUUUUUAUAGAUUUGAUGCAGGAAAUCGCGAUAGAAUUAAGAUUGUUUAAUUGUUGGAUUUGUGGAGGACUGCAGUCGGCAGAGAAGUGGCCUUGGAGAGUUUCACUCCAGAGCAGCUUCUUAAAUGGGAUAACACUAAAAUCUCCGGACUAAUACAAUGACCGGAGGGUUGCGUUUUGGACCAAUGAGUAAUUGGAACAAUCUGUAUUAGCUGGGAAGGGAGGGAGUAUACCGAAGUAGUCUGAUAUACCCCUUGUAUUUCCACUCUAUCAGUAAAUUCAAAUGCUAAAAGUAAAACCUGGCAACCAGAGACCCCGGCAGGGUAUUGGAGCCAGGAAAAGGGAACAAUUGUGAGUGGAGCGAUAAAAUUGGACUAUGCUGUAAUAAAGCCUCUGUUGCUAACCCUUACCAAUCUCUUGAAGGAUCGAAAGGUUACUGGAAUGAACCAGGGAGUACUGCCAGUAAAUAGAAGGCUCCUAACAAUUUGUAUUUGAUUGGUGGGAAAAAGGCUUAUAGUGAAUUGCCUCAAAAAUGGAAAGGUUCCUGUACUUUAGGAAUAAUAAGACCUGUGUUCUUUACUUUACCUUGGUCAGAAAGCAGCUCUCUAGGAGCUCCUUUGUAUGAAACUCUUAGACACAAGAGGGAGAUAAAGAAGAAAUUUCCUAUUUUUGAGGGAAGCCAAACAUGGGGAGGGGAAGAGUGGCCCGCGGAAUGAAUUAUAGAAUAUUAUGGACCAGCAACCUGGAACCAAGAUAGAAUUUGGAGUUACAGAACCCAAUAUACCUACUAAAUCAGUUAAUAAGACUCCAGGCAGUAGUGGAAAUCGAUUCAAAUCACACUUCAGACACCCUGGAGUUACUAUCUAAACAGCACUCCCAAAUGAGGGCAUUUGUGUACCAAAACAGGAUAGCCCUAGACUACUUAUUAGCAGAGGAAGGGCGAGUCUGCAGGAUAUUUAACGAGUCAGAAUGCUGUAUUGAAAUAGGUGACUAUGCAGAGACAGUUAGGGGUUUGGCAGCGGAUAAAGAGGGUUGCUCAUGUCCCAGUCCAGAAAUGGAAUUCUAUCUUAAAUGCAUCUUGGUGGGAUAGUCUGUUUGAUGGAGCAUGGUGGAAGAAAUUAAUAUUCUUCAUCCUCUGUUCAGUAGCAGGAAUCAUAUUCUUACCCUGCCUGAUACCAUGUUUUAUCAGACUAAUACAUUCAGUUGUACAAGGCAUGCAAAUAGCAGCCAUGCCUAUGGACCCAGAAUGUGCCACAGGGAGGACUAACCCAGUCUCUAAAAUCAUGAAACUAGAAGGAGAUCCACACAAGUGGGUAGCAGAUGCUUUGGCUAAAUUUUAAAAAAGUAAAAGGAAAUGAGAUUGAAUAUAAAAUGUAUCAAGAGGUACCUAGGGAGGAAUGGGAAAAUGAAAGUGAGACUGAAUAAUGUUUUACUUAUGUCUUGUCCCUUUUUUUGUGCACAAAAAUAGCUAGUCACACACACGGGAAAUAAAAAGGGAAAAGGGCUAAAAAUAAGUAUGUAUUAAGAAAAAAAAGAGGGGGGAUUGUUAUGAAUAAGGUGGUAAUUCAUACUGGAAAUGUAAGAUUAUUAAUGCAAUAUAAAAUAAAUCUUUAAGAUCAUGCCAGCAAAGGGGAGAGGGUGAUUGCCACACGGGAAAAUUCAGUUGAGGAGGAGGUGCAUCAUUAACAUACGAAGAAAACCUAGCCUGCACAGGAGAUGGGCACUCCCCGAUGGCAUGAACGAGAAAACACCCAGUGAUGAUGGCCCAUGUAGAUGUCCACCUCAGAUAGACAGGACCAUCAAGGACAUACAUCUGAAUGAAGGAUUCCGGGAACUGGAGACAGAUACACAUCAAUUCCCAGAUGAGGCUUUGUCCAGCACGGGACAGAGAAUAGACACAACAUGAAUAUGAAGGACUCCAGGAGGAGGGGAAAAAGGGACUCCACUACAGGCAAGAAGAAGAGUAUAAAUAUCAAACUCUGCCAGGCCUUGGUAGUGAACGGGGAUUCGGUGUGAUAGAGGCCGGAUCAUAGUUCAGCUGCUCCGAUCCCAGUGUCAGUACUACUUUUUGAUUGUUUGCAGUCAGAACUGUAUAUCAGUCACGAAUAAAGUUAAUUUUUAUUUUUGA